rnacentral:rRNA from 1 species
CCUACGGGCGGCAGCAGUGAGGAAUAUUGGUCAAUGGGCGGAAGCCUGAACCAGCCAAGUAGCGUGCGGGAUGACGGCCCUACGGGUCGUAAACCGCUUUUGCACGGGGAUAACACCCUCCACUUGUGGCGUUCUGCAGGUACCGUGCGAAUAAGGGCCGGCUAAUUCCGUGCCAGCAGCCGCGGUAAUACGGAAGGCCCGAGCGUUAUCCGGAUUCAUUGGGGUUAAGGGGAGCGUAGGCGGGCGUUCAAGUCAGCUGGAAAAUCGGGCGGCUAAACCGUGCCCCGCAGUUGAAACUGGAAGCCUUGAGUACACAACAGGCAGGCGGAAGUCGUGGUGUAGCGGUGAAAUGCAUAGAUAUCACGAGGAACCCCGAUUGCGAAGGCAGCCUGCCGAGGUGCGACUGACGCUGAGGCUCGAAGGUGCGGGUAUCAAACAGGAUUAGAUACCCUAGUAGUC